AUGAACGUCGCCCUCAUGUUGCAAUGGGUCUGGCGGAUCUUACGGGGAGACGGUGGCCUGUGGCUGCAGCUUCUUCAGGCAAAAUACCUAAGAGGCGAGCCUCUCCUGGCAUGCUCUCGCUCGGGUGGUUCCCAGUUGUGGAAAUCAAUCCAGCGGAUCAAGGAGGAUAUUCGUCUUGGGGUUUUCUUCUCUACAGGUAAUGGGGAAGGUACCCAAUUCUGGUUGGAUCCAUGGGUUUGUAGCGAGACACUUCGGGUGGGUUUCCCUUGUUUGUUUGCUAUCUGCACUGACCCGAUGAUCCCGGUUUCUGCGGCCUCCAGAAUGGGCAGUGGAACAUCUUAA
rnacentral:rRNA from 1 species